rnacentral:rRNA from 1 species
UACGUAGGCAGCAAGCGUUGUUCGGAGUUACUGGGCGUAAAGGGUGCGUAGGCGGCUUUUUAAGUUUGGUGUGAAAUCUCCCGGCUCAACUGGGAGGGUGCGCCGGAUACUGAGGGGCUAGAGUGUGGGAGAGGAAAGUGGAAUUCCUGGUGUAGCGGUGAAAUGCGUAGAUAUCAGGAGGAACACCGGUGGUGUAAACGGCUUUCUGGACCACAACUGACGCUGAGGCGCGAAAGCUAGGGGAGCAAACAGG